rnacentral:rRNA from 1 species
UGGAGGGAGGGGAGCCAACGGGGUUUGCCCUAGUAACGGCGAGUGAAGCGGCAACAGCUCAAAUUUGAAAUCUGGCCCCCCCCCCGCGGGGGCCCGAUUUGUAAUUUGCAAAGGAUGCUUCUGGCGCGGCGCCUUCCGAGUUCCCUGGAACGGGACGCCAUAGAGGGUGAAAGCCCCGUCUGGUCGGCCGCCAAGCCUCUGUGAAGCUCCUUCGACGAGUCGAGUAGUUUGGGAAUGCUGCUCAAAAUGGGAGGUAUAUGUCUUCUAAAGCUAAAUACCGGCCAAAAACCGAUAGCGGACAAGUAGAGUGAUCAAAAAAUGAAAAGCACUUUGAAAAGAGGGUUAAACAGUACGUGAAAUUGUUGAAAGGGAAGCGCUCGCGACCAGACUCGGGCCCGGCGGAUCAUCCGGCGUUCCUCGCCGGGGCACUCCGCCGGCGCCCGGGGCAGCAUCGGCUCGCCGCGGGGGAUAAAAGGGGCGGGAACGUGGCCCCUCCGGGGGGGUUAUAGCCCGCCGCGCAAUGCCCCGCGCCCCGGGCCGAGGACCUGGCCCUAGGCAAGGAUGCUGGCGUAAUGGGCCCUAGCGACCCGACUUGAGACACAGACCAGGAGUCGGCUUCCUAUGCGAAGUUCGGGUGUAAACCCCUACGCGUGAGGAAGUGAACGCGGGGGAGAGCCCUCGCGGGCGCAUCUCCGACCAGUCCUG